GGUGAGGGCUGCUGCCUGCUGGGCUGGGAGGCUAGGACAUGGGUGUGUGGCUUUUGGUGGAAUUAAUGAUUUAACUCAACAGUCACUGACUGAGUGCCCGUCAUGUCCAGGCACUGCACCAGGGUCCAAGGUGUACAGACAGUUGAAGGGGUUGUAGCCCAGGUGCUUACAGACUGGCAGAGGGGAUGCAUAUGAACACAGUUAACUAGAACUCUGGGCAA
rnacentral:lncRNA from 10 species